GCUUAUCAUGCAGUCGAGGGGCAGCGCAGUGUAGCAAUACAUGGGCGGCGACCGGCAAACGGGUGCGGAACACGUACACAACCUUCCUUUAAGCGGGGAAUAGCCCGGGGAAACCCGGAUUAAUACCCCAUAGUACGUCGAGAGGGCAUCCUCUUGAUUUUAAAGAUUUAUCACUUAAAGAUGGGUGUGCGGCUGAUUAGGUAGUUGGCGGGGUAACGGCCCACCAAGCCUACGAUCAGUAACUGGUGUGAGAGCACGACCAGUCACACGGGCACUGAGACACGGGCCCGACUCCUACGGGAGGCAGCAGUAAGGAAUAUUGGUCAAUGGACGAAAGUCUGAACCAGCCAUGCCGCGUGGAGGAUGAAGGUCCUCUGGAUUGUAAACUUCUUUUAUAUGGGACGAAAAAGGUCUUUUCUAGACCAACUGACGGUACCAUGUGAAUAACACCGGCUAACUCCCUUGCCACCACCCCCGGUAAUACGGAGGGGGCCAACCUUUUUCCCGGAUUCCCUGGGUUUUAAAGGGUGCCUUAGGUGGGGUUGGAAAUCCAUUGGUUAAAAUCCCCCAACCUUAACUUUGGGAAACGCCCUUUAAACCUAUCCAUUUUGAAAAACCCGGGGAAGGUCCCCCGAAAAAUUUUU
rnacentral:rRNA from 1 species